AUGAGAGUAAGGUUUACUGAUUAAAUCGAACUUCGAAUAAAAUUCUGUAUGUAUAUGGUAUAAUGACAAUAUAUAUCUUAUGUCUUGACAAAUUUCGUGCCAGCAGUCGCGGUAAUACGAAAGAGACUAGUGUUAUUCAUCUUCAUUAGGUUUAAAGGGUACGUAGACGGUAAUAAUAUACAAUUGUAUAGAAUUAACAAUUGGCAAAUUAAAACUAGAGUUUUAUAUGAGAAGAUCGUACUAUUGGUGGAGAGAUGAAAUUCUGUGAUACCUCUGGGACUGGUUAAGGCGAAGGCAAUUUUCUAUGUAAAAACUGACGUUCAGGGACGAAGGCUCAGGACACCAAAAGGAUUAGGUACCCAAGUAAUCUUUGCAGAGAAUUAUGAAUGUCAUAGGUUAGGUUUUUAUUUGGCCUAUAAAUUAAAGUGUAAGCAUUCCACCUCAAGAGUAAGUUGGCAACAUCGGAACUGAAAUCACUAGACCGUUUCUGACACCAGUAGUGAAGUAUGUUGUUUAAUUCGGUGAUCCACGAAAAACCUUACCACAAUUUGUAUAUAUUUAUAUACUAAGAAUAAUCCUUUUAAUUAUUCUUAAAUAUAUAUUUAGCUAUUAAUAAUAGACAGGUGUUGCACGGCUGUUUUCAGUUAAUGUUGUGAAAUUAUGGUUAAGUCCAUGUAAUUAACGUAAGCCCUUGCUUUAUUUGUAAAAUUUUUUUGAUAAAGCUGAUUCGCCACUAUAGCGGUUGAUGAUAAUAGGG
rnacentral:rRNA from 1 species